GACGAACGCUGGCGGCGUGCUUAACACAUGCAAGUCGAACGGGUCUGCCCUGUUUUUUGCGGGGUGGGUCAGUGGCGAACGGGUGAGUAACACGUGAGUAACCUGCCCCUCACUUCUGGAUAACCGCUUGAAAGGGUGGCUAAUACGGGGUGUUCUGGCUGUGCCGCAUGGUGUGGCUGGGAAAGAUUCACUUUUGUGGUGUUUUGGUGGGGGAUGGGCUCGCGGCCUAUCAGCUUGUUGGUGGGGUGAUGGCCUGCCAAGGCUUUGACGGGUAGCCGGCCUGAGAGGGUGGGCGGUCACACUGGGCCUGAGAUACGGCCCAGACUCCUGCGGGAGGCAGCAGUGGGGGGUAUUGCACAAUGGGCGGAAGCCUGAUGCAGCGACGUCGCGUGAGGGAUGGAGGCCUUCGGGUUGUGAACCUCUUUCGCCGGUGAAGAAGGUCCUGCUCUUUGUGGUGGGGUUGACGGUAGCCGGGUUAUGAAGCGCCGGCUAACUACGUG
rnacentral:rRNA from 1 species